rnacentral:rRNA from 1 species
CCUACGGGGGGCAGCAGUGGGGAAUAUUGGACAAUGGGCGAAAGCCUGAUCCAGCCAUGCCGCGUGUGUGAAGAAGGCCUUCGGGUUGUAAAGCACUUUCAGUGGGGAAGAAAGCCUUGGGGCUAAUACCCUCGAGGAAGGACAUCACCCACAGAAGAAGCACCGGCUAACUCCGUGCCAGCAGCCGCGGUAAUACGGAGGGUGCGAGCGUUAAUCGGAAUUACUGGGCGUAAAGCGCGCGUAGGCGGUCUGAUAAGCCGGUUGUGAAAGCCCCGGGCUCAACCUGGGAACGGCAUCCGGAACUGUCAGGCUAGAGGGCAGGGGAGGAAGGUAGAAUUCCCGGUGUAGCGGUGAAAUGCGUAGAGAUCGGGAGGAAUACCAGUGGCGAAGGCGGCCUUCUGGACUGACACUGACGCUGAGGUGCGAAAGCGUGGGUAGCAAACAGGAUUAGAUACCCCGGUAGUC